AAAAUACUUUUGCUCGACACGAAAGGACCAGACCAACCGAAUAAAAAUGGCAGUCCACAUCCUCGUUGUAUUCGUCUAUUGGUUGAAUGCUUCAUCGUUUUGUUCUUCUCUCUCUCUCUCUCUCUCUAUGUGUGUAUUUUGUA
rnacentral:ribozyme from 1 species